rnacentral:rRNA from 1 species
UACGGGAGGCAGCAGUCGGGAAUCUUGCGCAAUGGGCGAAAGCCUGACGCAGCAACACCGUGUGAGUGAUGAAGGCCUUCGGGUCGUAAAGCUCUGUUGUUGGGGACGAAGGGCGAGGGGUUAAUAGCCCCGAGCUUGACGGUACCCUUCGAGGAAGCCCCGGCUAACUACGUGCCAGCAGCCGCGGUAAUACGUAGGGGGCGAGCGUUGUCCGGAAUUAUUGGGCGUAAAGAGCGUGUAGGCGGUUCGGUAAGUCUGCUGUGAAAACCCAGGGCUCAACCCUGGGCGUGCAGUGGAUACUGCCGGGCUAGAGGGUGGUAGAGGCGAGUGGAAUUCCCAGUGUAGCGGUGAAAUGCGCAGAUAUUGGGAGGAACACCAGUAGCGAAGGCGGCUCGCUGGGCCAUACCUGACGCUGAGACGCGAAAGCUAGGGGAGCGAACAGGAUUAGAUACCCUGGUAGUCCUAGCCGUAAACGAUGAACACUAGGUGUGGGCGGAGUCGAAUCUGUCUGUGCCGAAGCCAACGCGAUAAGU